ensembl:lncRNA
GAGUCCAUUAUCACCAAAGAAAUGAAGGAUGUAAUUUUUAUUUCAGAAGAAGGUGGAGUGUGAAAGUUGGUAGCCAAAUGCUAACAUAUGGGAACUCUGAGCAUCUUUAGAAUGAAGAGCCACAUUUGAGCAUCUCAGGUUUGUUUUGUCAGUUUUAACCAGUGCACAUUCCUGAUAGUGCUCCUUUCCAACUGGCAGUUGGUGUGCUAACACUUCCUAUUGGGCAGGGAGUGUCCCCUUUGCUGUGCUCGCCUGGCCAGGUAUCAGCUGGUUGCUCUUAUCUACCAUCCUGGAUACUGUAGUACAUCUGGCCUUGAAUUCAUGCCACAGACUGCGGCUGAAGCACAUGAAGAUCUUUUGGCACAAUGAAGGCUUGUUCAUGUAAAUAUUAUUAUUAAUAGUCAUUAUCAGAAACAAGGAACAUCUUGAUAGCAUAAAAAAGAGAGCCAGCUUGGCUUGGGUGCCAAGGGAAGCAGCUGCAUGAAGUAGGGAUGGAAUGCUGAGCCUUCAGACAAGCUGGAACAUUGCUCUUCACUGUUGGGUUUUAGUAGGAUUUCCCAGCAGGCCAUUUCCAUGGAAUUUAACUAGAAGAAAAAACCUACUAUGAACAUGGGUCACAGCAUCACACAGUCUUUUCUCCACUGUAGUAAAAGAAAACAUUGAAAACGAAAAACAACAUCCCCAGGAAGUGAACGAAAUUGCUGUUAUUGGAAUCAGAGCAAGGAACCCCGACAGAUUGCCCUUCAGCGAGGGCCGUCUCCUGUCAAUCACAGCUCAUUCUUGACUGUGGAGGACAUAUGUCUUGUGUCUAGAGAGAGAAAACAGUACAUAGAGAACAAGGACCCUCUGCACGAUGAAAUCGAAGAGGUAAAAAAAUAUUAAGGGUAUGUUUUCCUAGUCUCUUGCUGAAGUCUAUUUUUGCUGAAACAAGCUCAAAGUCUGUAGCAUGAAAUGAGAAUUUGGAGAAAGCUGAAGGAAAUAUUGAAAACUCACAACAGAACAAACGUCCUAUAAUAUCAAAAGACAGGAUGUGGGUGGCACUGUUAAAUCAGAACCUACCGGGUGGAGUUUCGACCAUGUCUCGUCAGUCUCUCUUUGAUGUUCCUAAUGUGUGAGGAAAUACUCCUCUCUUAAAUGGUUCAUAGGACAGCCCCAUAUAACCCUGGGUAACGUUACAUUCUAGUCCCGUCUUAUGUGGUCAGGGGGAGAUGUGACCUGGAUGGAGCUUCGUGCUUUCUGUUUCUGCUUGGCUUGUUGUUGUUGAUGUUGUUGUUUUUGUUCACAUGCAAAAAGAAAUGACCAUUAUGUACAACUUAGCAAAGUUGAGUUCAGCCAAUCCUAACUGCUUGCAGUCUGCUUCCCAAUCUGCCAAAAUGUGAACAAGCUAUAGAACACCAACUCCCUCUGCCACGACGGAGCUGACCCCUUUGCCAUGAUUCCCCGCUUUUCUCUGUGCAACCGUCGGUGGGAACAAACGUCCCUUAAGCGAUUCUGUUGUCAUCAGUACAGUUACUAGCUAAGGAACGAGAGGAUGAAAUAAUAAACACAAAGUUCGAAUUCA